GACAUCUGCAAGUAGACAGUCCAGGGCUGGGGCUGCUGCCAACAGAUGCUGGGAAGGAAGCAGCCUCUUCCUGUUCCGCCCUCCUAGAGCGUGGCUUGAUCUCCUGGUCACAAGGCGGCUGCCACAUCAUCUUGGUUGUGCCUGUAUGUCAGCCAGGAAGGAAGAUGCCCAAAGGUGGGGCCGCAGGACCGAGUGGAAGGGUGAGUGGACACAGCGCUGCCUCCUGUGAGACCCACCACUCCGGCUGACUGGGCACUGGACUGCAUGCUGGUCCCCUCACAGCAGCCAAGUCUGCCCAAGCUAGGGAAACCUGGGGAGGAGACCUUCACCCGAGCACCAUGUUACAGACUGGUUGGCAGCAUUUCGGCUUCUGCAGACAGCUGUGCGGCAGCAACCGGAUGUCCCAGGGUUCCUCGCGGCCUCGCAGGUGCCCCAGGCCGGAAGCAGGCUUGUGCUGUCCUCGAGGGGCACCCUCAGUUGCUGUGGGACCAACUCCACCUGAACCGUGGUCAAAGGUCGAGGGUGGGGGCCAGGGCCGACCCACUGAGAAGCGGCAGGAGGACGCUGCAGUGAAGGGGAAGAGGCAGCCAGCCGCGCCGGAGCCCAGUCUAACGCCAGGUAAGCCGCCGCGUUCCCUGCCCGCCCCCACCCCCGACGCCAGGCCCGAGGAAAGCACGACCAGUAGAACCUAUUGUCCCAACCCGGGGCACCUGAAACCGACGGUUGGGAGUGCAAAGGCGCGGUUGAGUGGAGAAACGGUUUCUGCCCUCGUAUGUCGGAGGUCGCGGUGUGAGACGGGGGCGCCGGCCCCAUGA
rnacentral:lncRNA from 1 species